CGCCUUUUUGUGAGUGCAUAUCGCGAAACUGGUUUCUUCGGAAUUCGCUCCAAAGUUCCAGCGAUGGCGCCUCAUGGGAAUGCCUACUUAUCGUCGAAUCCUGCUUGUUACAUCUUCCAUGCACUGCUGAUGCAAGCCAUCGUACCUGCCUUUCGACCUCGUGUCGUACCAGCUGGAAGAGCUGUAAAGAGUGCCACGCUGGAAGCCCCGAUGCGUCGAUAAUCUCGCUUCGCCGCUUCAACGAUCUUCGCCAAGCGCAUGCGCACCUAGCAAGCUUCGGGAUCCGUUAUAAGUGGGCCUUAUGCUCCUUGGCGAUCAUUUGGCAGCGGUGGCUGCUCGUGGGAACACCUACUAAUCGUCGUAUCCUGCUUCUUACAGGUAUGACUGCUACAUCGUGAACUCGCAACCCGUCACGUUCGUGGAGCCACUUCCAAGCGUCCGCGUUUGCGCCGUCUGCUCGGUUGUUCCUGCCACGGCCGUGCACCUUCCCUGCGGCCAAACCCUGUGUGAGAUGUGCAAGCACAACGCCUUCGUCCGUCCGACAGCACAGCUGCACCGAGACGCCAGUGUCGUAGCCAGGCACCGCGGAGGCCUGUGUCCCGUGGACCUAAACCUGCUUUGCCGAAUUCGAGCUGAAUGCCAUGACCUUCCCCCUGGUUCAGCUGCACCACCAAUGCGCCUUCUGUGUCGACAGACGCUUCGGCUGUGCAUUCCUAUAGCCGAGCUGAGAUAACUUAAGGGGCACUAUUCAGCGGCUGCUGCAUGCGACACAAGACCUGCCACCAUUGUGGACAGGACAACAUCCUGGCAUGUGACACUAGGCAGCAUUCGAGGCGCUGCUUGCCAUUGUAGAGGCGAAGGUCUAAGCAGAAGCCUAGCCAAGAAUUAACAUCACCAGCCGCAAGUGCAGAGGUGCAACUUCCAUGAAGAACACUUGUAUUUUUAAUAUCGCAAUACGUGAAUGAAGAAUAAUGUUCUUGUA